rnacentral:lncRNA from 1 species
UCAACAACAACAACAACAACAACAACAAACCCAGUGUAUUCCCACUUUGUGGGGUCUGGGGGGGGUAAGAUGUACGCAGUCCAUACCUCUACCUCUGAUGAAGUAGAAAGGCUGUUUCCGAAAGACCCCCGGCUCAAGUUACGAGAUAUCAAACAAACACAUAGUACAGCACAGAAGCAGAUGACAUAACAUAGAUACUGCAGCCAUAAGGAAUAUAAAACAGAGUAAAGCAGGAAUGCAGGAAUAUAAAGCAGAGGAAAGCACACAGAUUCGUAACAAACAUAGAACACGGAACACGGAACAGAACAUUGAAAUACGGAAUCAUACCAGGAAUACACCCCC